ACGCGUGCGGCAUUUCUUCUCUACUGUUGGAGAGUGAAGAGAGAGAGCCAAAUCCACGCCGAAAAAUGGGUGCAAUCAGCGACCCGAACCAAGACGGCUCCGACGAGCAGCAGCGCCGCCCGGAGAUCUACACGUACGAAGCCCCAUGGCACAUCUACGCCAUGAACUGGAGCUUCCGCAAAGACAAGAAAUACCGCCUCGCCAUCUCCAGCCUCCUCGAGCAGUACCCUAACCGCGUCGAAAUCGUCCAGCUCGACGACUCCACCGGCGAGAUCCGCCCCGACCCCGCCCUCUCCUUCGACCACCCCUACCCUCCGACCAAGCUCAUCUUCGUCCCCGACAAGGACUGCCAGCGCCCCGAUCUCCUCGCCUCCUCCUCCGAUUUCCUCCGCCUCUGGCAAAUCUCCGAUUCCGACCCCUCCCGCCGCGUCGAGCUCAAGAGCCUCCUCAACAACAACCGCAACAGCGAGUUCUCCGGUCCGUUGACCUCCUUUGACUGGAACGAAGCCGAGCCGCGCCGGAUUGGAACCUCCAGCAUCGACACCACCUGCACGAUUUGGGACAUCGAGAAGGAGGUUGUAGAUACGCAGCUAAUCGCGCACGAUAAGGAGGUCUACGACAUCGCGUGGGGCGGCGUUGGCGUUUUCGCGUCAGUCUCCGCCGACGGCACGGUUAGGGUUUUCGAUCUCCGCGAUAAGGAGCAUUCGACUAUAAUUUACGAGAGCUCCGAGCCGGACACGCCGCUGGUGCGGCUCGGGUGGAAUAAGCAGGAUCCUAGAUACAUGGCGACCAUCUUAAUGGACAGUAGCAAGGUCGUGGUGUUGGAUAUUCGCUUCCCGACGCUGCCGGUUGUGGAGCUGCAGCGGCAUCAGGCCGGUGUGAAUGCGAUUGCGUGGGCUCCGCAUAGCUCCUGCCACAUUUGCACCGCGGGGGAUGAUUCACAGGCUUUGAUUUGGGACCUCUCGUCGAUGGGGCAGCCAGUGGAGGGCGGUUUGGACCCGAUUCUGGCUUACACUGCCGGGGCGGAGAUUGAGCAGCUGCAGUGGUCGUAUUCGCAGCCUGACUGGGUGGCGAUUGCGUUUUCGAACAAGCUACAGAUUCUGAGGUUAUAAAUGACGAAAAAUUAGGAGACAAUCAAUGCUGUGAGUGAAGGAACUUCCUCACUGAAUCUCGAAAGAUGUCGUUACAUUAGAGCGUACUGGCUUGUGGUAACUACAUCAGUUCUUCCACCAGUCAAGCCACUGGUGCGGGCCUGAGAUAACAGACGAUUUUUAUCUGGAGCAAUGACACUUUGCUCAACGAGUCAAAAGUUCUUGGUGUUUAACACUCCAGCAAGUUGAAGAAGGUGUAUUUUAGAUUAAGCAGUGCAACAGUGGUCUGUAAUUGAAGAAUGGUGGAUGAACAUGGCUUUAUAGUUGAUUGGUAUGGAAUGAUUUUCCAUAUUUCACAUGGUCGAUUUUGAAGCCGAGGGAUCGGGUAUCCAGAUUUGCCACUAAGUUUAUUGGCUCAAUCGACAACUCAAAUCGUCUUGCAAAUAACAGAAUUAGAGGCAUCUCAUCAAGCAUUGUUGGCCUAGCAAUAAAGUGGUUGACUAAAGUCUCAAAAAGAUACUCCCUUUCUUAUCUGAGAUGGGAUUGAGUUAUCUGAAUUUUAAGAAUCUGGAACGGCUUAUUUAGUUUGCAGUAUUUAACUUUUGUAAUCAUUGGAUGAUCCAUGUUUGAUAAAUUUG